UACGUAGGUGGCAAGCGUUGUUCGGAAUUAUUGGGCGUAAAGGGCGCGUAGGCGGUUUGUUAAGUCGGCUGUGAAAGCCCGGGGCUCAACCCCGGAGGGUCAGCCGAUACUGGCAGACUAGAGUACGGAAGAGGUAGCUGGAAUUCCCGGUGUAGCGGUGAAAUGCGUAGAUAUCAGGAGGAACACCUAUUGCGAAGGCAGCUCGCUGGGACGUUACUGACGCUGAGACGCGAAAGCGUGGGGAGCAAACAGG
rnacentral:rRNA from 1 species